rnacentral:miRNA from 1 species
UUAUUAGGUUGGUGCAAAAGCAACUGCGAUUUUUGCCAUUACUUUUAAAUAGCCAAAACCGCAAUUACUUUUGCACCAACCUAA